ensembl:lncRNA
GUCCACAUAAGUGAGGGGUGCACAAGUAUGAGUGAAUAAUAAAGAAGAUAGUCUUGGGUAGUCAUGGAUUUUACCCUGCAAGUAAAAGUAGUUGAUAGAGAAGAGAGUGACUAGGGGAGGAGACUAGGAGACUAGGAGAGUGACUACCAUUUUGAAGAGGUGGUCAGUUACACCCUCUCUGACGAGGUGAUAAGAAGGUGCCAUGUGAAAUUCUGGGGUGAGAGUAUUUUCAGCAGAAGAAACAGGAAGUGCCAAGGCUUCUAAGAACAGGAAGAAGAUACAUGUCUCUGCAAGGUGAUGAGUGAGAGUGAGGUGGACCAAGACGAGGUCAGAGAGCACCAUGCUGGAAGCCCUUGCUGCUGCUGCUGCUGCUGCUGCUGCUGCUGCUGCUAAGUCGCUAGAUGAGGAAAGGGAACAAAAGAUGACCUUUCUGUCAGUGGACCCUGGAUCAUACUUGAAGACACCCUGAACUAGAUAAAAUCAAGCUUCUGUGAGAGGAGGAGGAAAUGAGUGAGCAGAGGCGACGAGUAGAACAUCUGCCUGGCACCAGCAGCAAGGAACCGACACUCCAGCAGCUGGCCCCCUCAGUGUGGGCUGCCGUUCUUCCCCUUCCUUUUAUGGGAGUUUAUCCUGGGGGCCUUAACCUGGAGGGAUUUGGGUGAUGGAGAUUAACAGCCAUCUGGGGCGUGCUCUAAGGGUAGAAAGCCCUCAGAGGCAUCUUCUUCACCAGGCUGCUGGGAGUCUGGUGCCUCCCAUGGUCCUGAGCUUAAUGUGGUCACGCUCACUCCCAG